rnacentral:rRNA from 1 species
AAAUAGAGGUCAACUGCCCAGUGACUAUAGGUUCACGGCGCGGUAUUUUAACCGUGCUAAGGUAGCGUAAUCACUUGUCUCUUAAUGGAGACCUGUAUGAAUGGCAUCACGAGGGCUUAACUGUCUCCUCCUUCAGGUCAGUGAAAUUGAUCUCCCCGUGCAGAAGCGGGGAUGAAAACAUAAGACGAGAAGACCCCGUGGAGCUUUAGAUGCAAGAGCAGCGCAUGUAAUACACCCCUAAGCAAGGGUUAAAACUGAUGCACCCUGCCCUAAUGUCUUUGGUUGGGGCGACCGCGGAUCCAUUUAACCUCCGCGUGGAAUGGGAGCAUAUAUUAACGACACCUACUCCUAAAACUAAGAGCUACAGCUCUAAGCAACAAACUUUUGACCUAAGAAGAUCCGGCAACGCCGAUCAACGAACCGAGUUACCCCGGGGAUAACAGCGCAAUCCUCUUCUAGAGCCCUUAUCAACAGAGGUUUACGACCUCGAUGUUGGAUCAGACAUCCUAAUGUGCAACCGCUAUAAGGUU